GGGGUCGUGGUCAAGCUUGGCACGAUACGCGGUUUGGGUCCGCGUGAUCCCCGGUUCAAAUCCGGGCGACCCCACCA
rnacentral:tRNA from 1 species